GGACAGCGUAUCAACAGACUAAAUUUGCAAAUGGAACGUUUUUGGCUCUCAAAGGUAAUACACGUGUGUUUCAACAGAACACCCCAACAAUUCAAGAGUUAUGAGACAUUUCACCCACUUUAUAUUUACUAUUUUCUUUCAAAUAUAGGACACAGACAGUUUAACCACAGCUUUAAUGAGGAUAGAGCAUUCUUCUGUGCAGUGGCCAACUGUGGACAAAUGAACACUGAAAAGAAGACAGUGUUGAACACAGAAAAAGCUGUGGAUCCUGUUGUUUAUGGGUUGGCUGCUGUGUUGGGACUGUGUUUUGUGCUCAUAUUUUACUUGGCCAGUUUAAUUUACCAAGACAGGAAACACAAACAUGACAAAGAAGUGAAGUCUCAGCAAGUUCACACAGACAGGUCCUUCAGACAUCCAUCAAGUGGGCAG